rfam:Triticum aestivum genome assembly, contig: Triticum_aestivum_CS42_TGACv1_scaffold_362914_4DS
AGCCAAGUGGAUCAAGGCAGUGGAUUGUGAAUCCACCAUGCGCGGGUUCAAUUCCCGU